rnacentral:rRNA from 1 species
AACGUAGGAGACAAACGUUAUCCGGAGUUACUGGGCGUAAAGGGCGUGUAGGUGGUUUCGUAAGUCUGGCGUGAAAUAUCUCGGCUUAACCGAGGCAGGUCGUCGGAUACUGCGGGACUAGAGGACGGUAGAGGCGUGUGGAAUUCCGGGUGUAGUGGUGAAAUGCGUAGAGAUCCGGAGGAACACCAGUGGCGAAGGCGACACGCUGGGCCGUACCUGACACUGAUGCGCGACAGCAUGGGAGCAAACAGG